rnacentral:sRNA from 1 species
GGUCGAUUAUAUUGACCUUUAUAUUAAUAUUCAACGUCAUUUGCUGAUUUUUGCACAGACACUCUGAAGAACUCUAGCAUUCUUCGUAUAUAAAGUGUAAUAUUCAAUUAGUGAUUUUGAACUUUUGCGGUUAACAGUAUAGCAUACCAUUAUUCUUGAUGCGACAUUUACACCCAUAUUUUGAGAAAUUAUUCCCAUGUCAUUUAAUAACAUUGUUCUUGCUUUUUGAUAGUUCUCUCAAUUUAUGAAAAAAUGACAGGGUUUUUUUUGGUUUGGUUUGGAGGACACCGAAUUUCAUAAGAUCUUUUGAUGGGUUUUUUUGCGACAUUUAGUUUAAUUGUUGCAUGAUAAAAGACAAGCAGUUAUAUUGUCAUUUCCUGUUCAACGCAAAGAACUGAAUACGGCGUUGUUUACUGCUUUGUCUGUGUGUCUGUAUAAUGUGGGGUUUUUCUUCAGUUAAAGUCCGUCCAAUUUCAUUUGUACAAACAAUUUUUCUCAAUAUAUGGGUAAGAAUAAUUAUACUAGUAUAAUUUAUGAAAAUGGUUUAAAAUACAAAUUAUUUCAAAUGUUUAAACUAGAUGUAUUAUAUAAGACUUUAUUUCUAAAUGUUUAAACUUGAAUGUUUUGAGGUCUCGUUUGUCACACAGAUUGUAUACUGCUGUAAGUUGACAUGAUUGUGUUUUAGUUAAUCAAUGUCUUGGAUCAUUCAUUAUUUUCACAUUUAUUCUGUUUUAACUUUUUCAGACAUUAUGGUAUGAAAACGAAGGCUUAUAUUGAAGCCUGAAUUGUUGAUACCAAAAAUAAACUGAGUUUAAUGUUAACUUAUUGUAGAUCUUAGUUAGUUUUUAGUCUAUAUGUGAAUUCUGUUAAAUGACCAAAGAUCAUAUGUCUAUGAUUUUCAUUUUGAUCAAGUUUUAGCUUUUUUUGCUUUCUGUAUAUCAGACUGCUUUGAAUUUUAUUGUCAAACAUUGUCAUUUUUUGACAUUUGAAAUAACAACGUGUAGUUAAGAAUUUCAAUAAAUUUCGCAUC